UACGGAGGGAGCUAGCGUUAUUCGGAAUUACUGGGCGUAAAGCGCACGUAGGCGGCUUUGUAAGUUAGAGGUGAAAGCCUGGAGCUCAACUCCAGAAUUGCCUUUAAGACUGCAUCGCUUGAAUCCAGGAGAGGUGAGUGGAAUUCCGAGUGUAGAGGUGAGAUUCGUAGAUAUUCGGAAGAACACCAGUGGCGAAGGCGGCUCACUGGACUGGUAUUGACGCUGAGACGCGAAAGCGUGGGGAGCAAACAGG
rnacentral:rRNA from 1 species